UACGGAGGGGGCUAGCGUUGUUCGGAAUUACUGGGCGUAAAGCGCACGUAGGCGGAUGUUUAAGUCGGGGGUGAAAUCCCGGGGCUCAACCCCGGAAUGGCCUUUGAUACUGGAUGUCUGGAGGCCGGGAGAGGUGAGUGGAAUUCCUAGUGUAGAGGUGAAAUUCGUAGAUAUUAGGAAGAACACCAGUGGCGAAGGCGGCUCGCUGGCCCGGUACUGACGCUCAUGUGCGAAAGCGUGGGGAGCAAACAGG
rnacentral:rRNA from 1 species